GACGAACGCUGGCGGCGUGCUUAACACAUGCAAGUCGAGCGGUAAGGCCCUUUCGGGGGUACACGAGCGGCGAACGGGUGAGUAACACGUGGGUGACCUGCCUUCAGCUCUGGGAUAAGCCUGGGAAACUGGGUCUAAUACCGGAUAUGACUCCAUGAUGCAUGUUGUGGGGUGGAAAGCUUUUGCGGCUGGAGAUGGGCCCGCGGCCUAUCAGCUUGUUGGUGGGGUGANGGCCUACCAAGGCGACGACGGGUAGCCGGCCUGAGAGGGCGACCGGCCACACUGGGACUGAGACACGGGCCCAGACUCCUACGGGAGGCAGCAGUGGGGAAUCUUGCGCAAUGGGCGAAAGCCUGACGCAGCGACGCCGCGUGAGGGA
rnacentral:rRNA from 1 species